GGGAAACAGAGCUCCACAGUGUGACUUCCUCAAGCAACACAAGACAUCUCAGGAAGAGAAACACAGCCUUGUCUGGAUGCUGCCAUUUCAGUCCACAUGCACAUGAGCUGUGAAGGAUGAGGAUCACAAGGAUGGCCAAUACACAUCUCCUAGGUGCUCCAACAACAUCACUGCAAACGUUUCCAGAAGAAAGGAAAGGACCUAGAAGAGGCUGACCUUUGAGCUUACAGCUCUUUGCCCAUUGUUCUGCCUUUUCAUCCCAUUGUGAUGUGAACAGAAGUCCCUGCAGAGCUCUGUGGCAAGAGAAAACAUG
ensembl:lncRNA